GGNUACGCAAGGAAGCACGUAGGGCCCAAGGUAUGAUUCAUGAUUGGGGUG
rnacentral:rRNA from 1 species